CGUUAAGAAGCUGAAUAGGAUACAGCGUUAGCCUUUUAAGCUAAAAACUGGUGCCCUCCGACCACCCUUAGCGA
rnacentral:tRNA from 1 species